rnacentral:rRNA from 1 species
ACACGCUGGCGGCGUGCCUAAUACAUGCAAGUCGAACGAAACUUUCUUACACCGAAUGCUUGCAUUCACCGUAAGAAGUUGGGUGGCGGACGGGUGAGUAACACGUGGGUAACCUGCCUAAAAGAAGGGGAUAACACUUGGAAACAGGUGCUAAUACCGUAUAUCUCUAAGGAUCGCAUGAUCCUUAGAUGAAAGAUGGUUCUGCUAUCGCUUUUAGAUGGACCCGCGGCGUAUUAACUAGUUGGUGGGGUAACGGCCUACCAAGGUGAUGAUACGUAGCCGAACUGAGAGGUUGAUCGGCCACAUUGGGACUGAGACACGGCCCAAACUCCUACGGGAGGCAGCAGUAGGGAAUCUUCCACAAUGGACGCAAGUCUGAUGGAGCAACGCCGCGUGAGUGAAGAAGGUCUUCGGAUCGUAAAACUCUGUUGUUAGAGAAGAACACGAGUGAGAGUAACUGUUCAUUCGAUGACGGUAUCUAACCAGCAAGUCACGGCUAACUACGUG